ACCGUAAGGUGGAGAGGAAGGUGGGGAAUGACGUCAAAUCAGCACGGCCCUUAUGUCCAGGGCUACACACGUGUUACAAUGGCCAGUACAAAGGGCAGCUACCGGGUGACCGGAUGCUAAUCUCUAAAGCUGGUCUCAGUUCGGAUCGAAGUCUGCAACCCGACUUCCGUGAAGCUGGAUUCGCUAGUAAUCGCGGAUCAGCAUGUCGCGGUGAAUACGUUCCCGGGUCCUU
rnacentral:rRNA from 1 species